GCCGGAAGCGGAAGCCGCGCCGAGGCUCGUGUCAGUGGAAGCUGGGGUGUCGGCGGGCGGCCGCGGCCGGGUCUAGCGGUGCCUGCGGAAGAAGGAGGAGGAGGGCUGGCGAUGAGAAGCAGCAGGAGGAAUCAAGGGCAAGAAGGGACCCAGAGGGGCAGGUGGCUGAGAUGCUGGCGUCCAGGUGACCCGAGGAAUCCUCUGGAGAUACAGGCCCGCGCAUGCGCGUGCUCGAGCGCUGAAGCCCAUUGCCCGCAGGGCGCUGGACUGGCGCCCCGGCCGGCGAGGCUGUCUAGUCCAGGCUCCAGGCCCCGGCUCUGGCCAGGCGCCGCCGCCUCCCGGUGCAGCUGAAAGUCGACGAAGAGGGCGGGGCGGGGGCGGCUUGUGGACUUCCACACUUUUCCUCUCUUCGGGCCAGUCCGGGGAGAGGGUGGCUAGCUGUGGCGGCGGCCAAUUACGUGGCGGACCUGCGGGGCUAAGCUGGCACGUCACUUCCGACUAGUGGAGUUUUUAGCCUUUUAACAUUCAAGGAUUAGGUAAAAGUCUUGCAGUGAAAAACCCGAGGACCCUUACCGCAAGUGUCCUUUGCUCCCAGCUACUGAUACUGGAUUCCACUUGUGAUUCUCCCUUUCUUAGCGCAUUCAUGAUAUAGACAUCAGUCUCUGAGCUGGAGGAGGACAAAGGCAGCAGUCCUGUGAAUUCUAUGCUCUAGCUUGGGUUAAGGGAUUUGGAAUUGCACUUGUUCCAGAGAGCUCCCUCUUUGCCCACUAGCAGGGCAUUAGCUGGUGCUGAAGACAGUGGCUGCUUGGCGAGCCUGGAUCUCCAAGUGACUCCAAGUGACCCCCUCAGCAACUCCUGAUGAACAGGACUGAAGCCAAUAUUAAAGCAAGUCAACCAAAGAUUCUCUGGUGUAGACAAGACAGCAAAAGGACAGACUACCUUGUGGAACCUAGCAUUGUUCUCCUUCUGCAGCACUAAGUAACAUUUGUGCUCCGUUAAGAUCUUUGCAAACCACACACAAGAAUUGCUGGUCAUCCUGCCAAUAGAUGCUGCUCACAGAACCAAAUUUCCUGUGCUGAAUUGUCACUCAUGGGCUUGAGAGUAGGAGACUGGAGACCAAGGUGGCUAGAAUCCAGUUGGGCCUGAUGUCUCCCUGUUGAAAGGGCUCCUUGUGGAAUAAACAGCACAUGGCUCCCGUGGUGGAUCUGAUAGUGGCACAGCACCAAGUGAUGCAGGCCUGCCAGGGGCCACAGACACAGAAGAUGCUCCCAGGGUCCCCCGUGUACUCCAGACACACUGCAGGCCACCUCUCCCAGCAGGUUGCCAGUCAUGGGCCCCAUCAUCAUGACUUCUGUCCAAGGUGUGCUCGGAAAUCUCUUCCUUAACUGUGACUUUCUGACAGGUGGAGGAUGUGGUCAGGAGUGGGAAAAGGAUUCGAGACGGGAAGAGGGAGGGGUUCAGGAUGAAGAGAGAUAAUCUGUGCCACAGAUGCUGGCCCUGCAGUUAGCUCCCACCUAGUCCGUGCACACACAUUCUAAUCCCCUCGCAUUCCUCUACAUGCUGCAGCCAGAGAGGCCUUUCUCAAAGUGGAAGUCGCAUCCUCACUUCUCUGGUUACAGUGCUGGGCCAUGGGUAACUUACAAGGCUUAGCAGGAACUGUCUGCGCACUCCCCCUUCCUGCCCACUGCCUUGUUUCCCUCCAGUUGCGAGAGCAAACAUUGAUUGAGCAUUAACUAUGUGCCAGGCUUGUCCUAAGUCCUUUGCAUGUAUUCACUCAAACAAUCCUCACAACAUUCCUCUCACAUCUCCCAUUUCACAGUGAGGGUUCUAAAGCACGUAGUGGGUGAGGAACUUGUCCGGGGUCACACAACUAAGUGGGGGUGGAGAAACAUCAAAUCUGAGUGGUCCAGGUGGUGGCCAGAACCCAUCAGCACCUCACUACAGCUGCCUCCAGUUUCUCGCUCUAGGAAAUACUCUUCCCUGUCAACUCCUGUUGUCCUCUGGGCUCAGUUGACAUGUCAUCUCCUUGAGGAGGACAUCCUGAGAUGCUCCCCGACUAGGGUGGGCACCCACUUCCACACUCCAAAUGCCUAUUUGACCUGUGUAUCGCUGCA
rnacentral:lncRNA from 1 species